rnacentral:rRNA from 1 species
GAUGAACGCUGGCGGCGUGCCUAAUACAUGCAAGUCGAGCGAACAGAUGAGGAGCUUGCUCCUCUGACGUUAGCGGCGGACGGGUGAGUAACACGUGGAUAACCUACCUAUAAGACUGGGAUAACUUCGGGAAACCGGAGCUAAUACCGGAUAAUCUAUUGAACCGCAUGGUUCAAUAGUGAAAGACGGUUUUGCUGUCACUUAUAGAUGGAUCCGGGCGGCAUUAGCUAGUUGUUAAGGUAACGGCUUACCAAGGCAACGAUGCGUAGCCGACGUGAGAGGGUGAUCGGCGACAUUGGAGCUGAGACGCGGUCCAGACUCCUACGGGAGGCAGCAGUAGGGAAUCUUACGCAAUGGGCGAAAGCCUGACGGAGCAACGCCGCGUGAGUGAUGAAGGUCUUCGGAUCGUAAAACCCUGUUAUUAGGGAAGAACAAAUGUGUAAGUAGAUAUGCACGUAUUGACGGUACCUAAUCAGAAAGCAACGGCUAACUACGUG